UCAUAACCUAAAUAUAAAUAAUUUAACAACUUAAAUUAAAGAAAAAAAAAAUCCCGGGCGUAGCCCGGGUUAAUCCCUAGUCUAUACUAUAUUAAAAGGGUUAUACGAGGAGUAGGGAGGCUAUCCACGUCAGACUAAAAAUUCUACCAAUCAAAUGCUUCUAAUUUACCACGUCACUUACUCAACACAAAAACUGUCGAUAUGUUUCGUCUUCUCCACUUCUCCAUUUUCUUUGAGCGUUACCGAUUCUUUCACCUCUCUUUCUUUUCCUCUUAUUUAAUAAAACCUUUCACCAGUGAAUCCAGAACAACUCGAUUUACACAAAUGAGGUUUAUCUGAUGAGUCUGGUUACCUGGUGUUCCCGAUCACGACGCCAUCGAUAACCGGACGUAACCGGAGGACGAGGAGGGUUGGAGAUUAAUAGCAGAAACGAAAUCGAAGAUGAGGAUGAACACGAUGAGGAGGAAGAGGAGGAGGAGGAGGAAGAAGAUCGAGGGGAGGUGUUCCCGAUCACGACGCGAUCGAGAACCGGAUUCUCGAUUGGGCCGAGAUUCUAAUGGCAAUCAAGGAUAAUUCAGGAAACGCGGCUGAUUACGUCGACAACGGAGCUGGUUAGGAGGCGCUGCUCCAGAAUUUAGCGGAAGGAGACGGUGGCGAAGGUGGUGGGAGGAGAAGAGCACCGCUGGCUGCUAAAUCGACGAUUGAGGCGUUGGAGACUUUCGAGGUUUGUUCUGAUGAAGAUGAUGAAGGUUGUUGUUUUCGCUGUGUGUAAACAUGGGAUGGUGAUUGGUGAAACCGUUAAGAAGUUACCGUGUGGGCAUUGUUACCAUGGUAAUUGUAUGUUAAAUAUCUAAUUGAUGUUCUCUCCUCUGAACUCUCUGAUGGUUUCAUGGUAAAACUAUUUGAUUCAAAUUAAGCACUAAGAUUAGAGCGUUUUGUUUUGUUUUAAUUUGUCUCUGAACAUGAAAAUAAAAAUCUGAUUUGUUAGCAGAAAGGCGUGAUUUUGUGCACUUAUGAUUCAGCAGAGAGAGUCGGAAGGCUUGCUAACAAGGUUUAAUGGGGAAAGUCAAACCUAAAAAAAUGAAGGUUUUCGUAGGGGUUUCUUGCACAACUUCUCUGAACCAUUUGGUUGUUGUGAGGAAACUUAUUGUUCUCUCCUUAAAAAUAUUGCUUCCUCGGUGUGUUUUCCUCUUCCAAAGGUUUUUGUUUUUGUUAUCAUACAUUUUCACUUUUAAUAUUGUUAUCAUUUUUGAGUUUGAGCAGGCUCAAGUAUGAUAAUAUGAAACUGAGGAGACUUCAUGAUAAAAUCCACCAAAAAGAGAAAAGAGGAACAUAGCAGACGUGUAAAAAAAAAGACAUUUGAUAAAAGGUAAAAAUGCUUCCCUUAAUUCAUCACCUCAAGGAGCAGACUGUUGCAAAAUAUAUCAGGAUCGUAUUGCACUGUUUAUCAUCUUUUAUUGUUCCUGCUCAUGUCUUUUUUCUUUACAGGACGAUAUUACCCUUGGAGAAUUGUAUACUUUUAGUAAACUCUAAGUAUGCUUUAAGAUUUUCAGGUCUUUUAGUCUGCAAAAGAUAGGAUCCCUACGUUUAACCUUUUAUUAACAAUCUUAUGUUAAAACCCUUGAUUUUUGUGGCAGCUUUCAGUAUGUUUCUGGAAGUAAGCACAAUUCUUUAUCACUUUGAUGUAUUUUGGGUCCGUUGUUCCACGUCUCUAGACUUAUAUUACAUAAGAAAAGACCUAAAACUCAAUCUUCACUGGUGGUUCUGAUGAGAUGAUGUUAACUCAAAUAUUGUAAGUUAGCAGUGUAACUGUACGCACGGACGUUGCUUGAAACUGCAAGUCUUCCCAUUCAUCUUUACGGUUACUCAAGCUAUUGCAUGUUCAUAUUUUCCCUUUACCUGCUGUCGUUCCUAUAGUUUCUGGUUCGACUUUACUUUGAACCUCUGUAAACUUACACUCUCAUGUAUCUUUUCAGUUACGGUGAAAGCUUUGCGUUCGGAACAUAUUGUGAUGGUUGUAACUGUGUCAAUCGUUCAAACAACGUUGACAAUGAACCUGAAAGAUUGAGAUAUUGAAGCAACUCUGUAAUGGAAUCUAAAUGCGUUUAGGUCGAAAAUUGCUAGCAGACCGUCCACAUGGGGUUAAAGAUAAAAGAGUACGUGGUUUGAGGAUUAGCAGUGCUACUGAUUUAAAAAAAAAAAACCAUUUACAUUUUCAAUAUUGUUGGAAGACUUCUGUGAACUUAUGUUAGAUUGCUGGGGAGUUCUUUUAGCUUCUAAGGUACAAUGAGAGAUUUUUCUUUUGUAGGAGGAUAUUGGUGAAGUUGUGUUGUCACUGUAAGAAAUCAGGAUGUUUUAAGAAGUAUUGUGAGUACUUUCAAGCAAACAUUUUUUAUUCUGGGAACUGCUAAUGCUUGGACUGCAAAAACUUUGAAGGAAGUGAGCAGAGAAAAGCUCUGUUUCAUGGUGAAAAUGCCAACAAUGUGGCUUAUCUCCACCAAUGAAACCAUUACUGGAGCUGUCGGCCCACUGGCUUUGCUCCUUUGACACCCAAGUGAAAGUUUAUAGCGACUCCAAGAAUCUAAUCACGAGAAGCUACUUUACCUGAUUUUGAGGUUCAACUUUAUCAGCAUUUAAGUCGGCUUUCUGCUCAGUAAUCUUCUUCUUCUUCUUCCUCUAGAUUGAUUUGACUGGUUCAUUAGUCUUUUCUUAUCUCUUGAUUUAUAAAUUGGAUUAUACGAUAAAGAGGUUUACUUUCAGGUGCAGUGUAUCUUCUGGAACAUGGCAAAUAAGCAUGGAAUGUUGUUUCAUCCUCCCGAAUCUUCAGUCAGAAUUUUAUUCUGUUCUUCAAUCCCUAAGGUCUCAUCCUGAUAAAGUUGUGAAUGUAAUUGCUCGACCAGAUGGGACCUCGAAACAUUUCUCUAUUCCCUACAUAAUUUCCUGUUAAAAUAGUAACGAUUCUAUCAGUUAUAUGCAUUUGGCUUAUUUUUGGUUUAUAAUUUCAUGGAUAUGUUUUGCUCAUUGCUGAUGUCCAAAAAAAGGAAGCUUAUGCUAUUGUCUCUCACAAUAUUGGUCAACUUCUUUUUCUGUUAGAGACACAAAUGAUUGUACAAGAGAAACAGAGAAAAUAUCAUGCUAGGAGAGCUUUAUGGCUACUCUGAACUGCAUCCACAGUACGGCCUAAGUCAGCCUCAGAAGUUAUACUGACGGGUUCUUUUGAUGGUUGAUCAACCCAGGACAGUUCAACAAAAAAAAAUGCUUCACAUCUACUCGUGUUUUAUAAUUUAACACACAGCGUAAAAUGAAGAAAGCACAAAACGGAGUCUUCAGAUGCUUUGGUUGUGAGCCAACAGAGAAGAUAGUGUACCAUUAUGCAAGUUGAAUCAACAAGCUCAACCUGUGAAAGUUUAUAUAUAACGAGAUUAUCUUUUCUGUUUGAACAAAAGAAGAUUAGUAUUUUUUUGUUCAAAUGAUUAUCUUUUCUUAAAUGUGUAAUUAUGGUGGACACACUGAUUCUAUGUCUUUGCUAUAAAGUUAUAUUUUGAUCUAUUCCAUGCAUACCAUUUGGUUCAGAUUGGAGAGCCCUUGGAAACUUAAAAAAUAAGAAAAUCGAUGGCACUAGAAAUUUUGAAAAAUGAUUAAAAACAAUAAAUAACACAACUUGGUUAAAUAUGUAUAUGGUUUUUGACAUAAGUUCAUAAUGAAUGUUUACUUCUAAAAUGAUUACGUAGUUUGGUUGUUAAAAGCGAUGGUCAGCGGCUAGCAUUGUUUGGAAAACCAAACCUACCGGUUGAAAUGUGACUCACUCUUCUAACCGGAAUUAGACUGUGCUAAAAAUCGGCAAAUUCGCUUAAAACUUGGUCACACUCACUAAACUAAUGAUGCAGAUCGAUAUUAAAUUCGUUGCUUUAAAAAAAAUCAAGUUAAAAAUAAUUGUACGUUUUAACAAGAUUGCAUUAAAAAAAUCUAUAUUAGCUUUUAAUAUCUAUCUAAAUAAAUUAGUUUUCAAUAUAUUUUAUAUUAUUUAGAACUUUUCAUUUUAUUUUCAUAUCAUUUUUAGAUUCUAACAAAAAUAUAAAGUUAUACAAAAAAAUAAUUUUAUAAUUAUACAUAUAUAUAUAGUUACUUAAAUUUAAAUUAUAUUAAAUUUUAAAAUCCGACAGAACCGGUCAGACCAUUGACCCAACUAAAAUACUGAACCAAUAUCCGAUCCGGUUUCCAAAAUAUUGGUGGCAAGGAUAAAAUUAAUAUCGUCCACUUUAUGAAUAAUUAAAAUAAAAAAAAUUAUUGAUAACAACAAAAUAUAACCAAUCUUAAAUUUAUAUUAAUAUGUUAAAUUUACAUAAAGUCAAUUCAUAUGUAUACUUAGUUUUGUUAGUCAGAUAUACCCUAAAUGUUUUUCAGAUUAUGAUAGUGAUUAUUUUCUUCCAACAUUUUGAAAAUGGAAAAUAUAAAACAAUAACUGAAAAAAAUUACACUAAUUAUUAUGUAAAUUAUUUAUACCAAAAUAAAAUGAACGUUUUGAUAAAAAAAAAAUAUAAUUACAUUAUUUUAUAAAACGUUUGUGCAUUAUUAAUAGUAUUUAUCAAACAACCACUUGGUUAACUACAAUGAUUUUAUCAUUCACUAUUUUUUUCUAUUUAGUCUAACAUUCUAUUUCUUUUGUUUUCAACUAUAAGUUUUGUUAAACAAUACAAAUAUAUGUAAAAAAAAUGAUUGGAAACUUUUUUUUAGCCGGAUUUAGACUGUGCUAAAAACCGGCAAAUUCGCUUAAAACUUGGUCACACUCACUAAACCAAUGAUGCAGAUCGAUAUUAAAUUCGUUGCUUUUAAAAAAUUCAAUUUAAAAAUAAUUGUAUGUUUUAACAAGAUUACAUUAAUAAAAAAAAUCUAUAUUAGCUUUUAAUAUCUAUCUAAAUAAAUUAGUUUUCAAUAUAUUUUAUAUUAUUUAGAACUUUUCAUUUUAUUUUCAUAUCAUUUUUAGAUUCUAACAAAAAUAUAAGUUCUAAAAAUAAUAAUUUUAUAAUUAUAAAUAUAUAUAGUUACUUAAAUUUAAAUUAUAUUAAAUUUUAAAAUCCGGCAUAACCGGUCCGACCAUUGACUCAACUAAAAUACCGAGCCAAUGUCCGAUCCGGUUUCCAAAAUAUUGAUGGGAUAAAAUUAAUAUCGUCCACUUUAUAAAUAAUUUAAAAAAUCUUUAUUGAUAACAACAAAAUAUAUACAAUCUUAAAUUUAUAUUAAUAUGUUAAAUUUACAUAAAAUUCAAUUCAUAUGUAUAGUUAGUUUUGUUAGUUAGAUAUACCCUAAAUGUUUUUCAGAUUAUGAUAGUGAUUAUUUUCUUCCAACAUUUUGAGAAUGGAAAAUAUAAAACAACAACUGAAAAUAAUACAAUUAUUUAUACCAAAAUAAAAUGAUUUUUUUUUGUUAAAAAAAUUAUAAAAACAUUAUUUUGUAAAACUUUUGUUCAUUACUAAUAGUACUUAUCAAACAACCACUUGGUUAACUACAAUGAUUCUAUCAAUCACUAUUUUUUUCUAUUUACUCUAACAUUCUUUUUUUUUCAACUAUAAGUUUUGUUAAACAAUAAAAAUAUAUGUAAAAAAAUGAUCGGAAACUUUGUUUUAGCCAUUAUCUACGCGUAGCGCGGAAAAAAAAUCUAGUACUAUAUAAGAGGAACAAUCUGAUUUAUAUAUACGUACCGUCUGUAACUAACACUUACAGGACCAGCGCUUCGUAGUUGAGCAGCUUGGCCAGGUUUGGCUAAGGCUCCCAUGGCUUUGCCACUAAGGUCAAAAUGAACUGGCUCAGAGGCGCAAGGACCACCUGGACACUCGUCCGUUAUCGUCACCGUUAUUGGGCUCCCUGAACAUGCUGGAUUCACGGUGCACAUAAUCUAAAAUAAACACAUUUAUAUUUACGAUAUGGUUGCGACAAAUAAUACAUAUGUCUUUCAGACUUGCAUGAAUGUAUGUAUAAUUUAUGUACAAUCUAGCCUGGCCACCACGACCCUAAAUUAAUCAAUACCACUUUUUGUAAGAAUAAAAUUGGUCGUUUUUUUGCUUGCUCAAGAGAAUUGCUUUAGUAUAUUAUUAAUACGAACCUGAUAACAUGUUCCACAUCCUUUUCCAUUGUUGAAUAGUGAAGGGCCUCCGGCUGAAACCAUCGCGUUUAGCGGUGGAUUGGCCACUGCCACACCAUAUCCACAAGCUCCUCCUAUUGACAUAUAUUUACAUUAUCAAACAAACAUAUUUUUUGAAGAUAAAAUAUUUAUAUAUGUAGUUUCAAAUUUUAAUAAUACGUACCGGUGCUACCUGCUCCCUCUGGUUCACCGUACCAAGUAGCACCAGCGUCUGCGUCGGCCCAUCCAGAGGCAUUUUUUGUUUCAUUCUGGCAAUAACAAAACUUAAAUGAGGCUGCAAAAAGAGCUAAAAGGGCAAAGCAUCUAUGGAAGGAUGUCAUUUUAUGAUCUAACUUUGUGUCGUUUAAAGAAAUUUCUGUAAUAUCAAUAGCUAGAUGUGAAUUCGAUUCAUAAUAUGAUAGUGGAUAUUUAUAGUGUGUUUUUGGGAGUAGUUCUUUGGAUUCAGUGGAUAGGAAAUCGUAUAAUUGGCAAUAUUAGGAUGUAGAAAUGUAAAAUGGAAUUAGUAAAAUAAAAAGGAAUGGAAUAUAGAGAAACAUGGAAUAUAUUUCAUUCCAUUUAUUCAUGAUUAAAAUUGGAAUGAAAUCAGUUUCUUUGAAUUUUCUUUUACUUUUAUGGAAUUGAUGGAAUAAAUAUUAUAUUUCAUUCAUUACAAAUGGUACAACAAUUUAUGGUAUAAAUGGAAUAGAGAAUUUCACAUCAUUUUAUUCUAAAAAUUGGCAUUCCAGUUUUGGUACUUAUGGAAGUAAUGUAAGCUUCCCAACUCUCUAGAAAGAAAACAUAUUUUUUUAACGAUGAUUUAUUAUGAUAUUACAAUUUUUGAGAAAGAUAGACGAUCGACAACCGACAAUAUUUUAACAUUAACAAAUUAUAGAUAGUUGAGCAAAACCCCCUUUGAUAUAUUGUAUUGACAUUAUGUCAUUCAGGUUUUCUAAAACUGAAAAAUAGGAAAGUUUUUUUUUUUGUACGUUCGACUGUUAAAGUUAAGACUUUAAUCAGCGAAUCAAGAUCAACGAUAUAAAACGUGAG